rnacentral:rRNA from 1 species
AGGAGAGUUUGAUCCUGGCUCAGGAUGAACGCUGGCGGCGUGCCUAACACAUGCAAGUCGAGCGGGAAUCUGUUGAUUGAGACUUCGGUGGAUUGAUGCAGAGGAUAGCGGCGGACGGGUGAGUAACGCGUAGGUAACCUGCCCCUUACACAGGGAUAGCCUCGGGAAACUGGGAUUAAUACCUGAUAAUGCGAUGGAGUCACAUGGCUUUAUCGCCAAAGAUUUAUCGGUGAGGGAUGGACCUGCGUCUGAUUAGCUGGUUGGUGAGGUAACGGCCCACCAAGGCAACGAUCAGUAGCCGACCUGAGAGGGUAAUCGGCCACAUUGGAACUGAGACACGGUCCAAACUCCUACGGGAGGCAGCAGUGGGGAAUAUUGCACAAUGGGCGCAAGCCUGAUGCAGCAACGCCGCGUGAGCGAAGAAGGUCUUCGGAUCGUAAAGCUCUGUCCUUAGGAACGAAGAAGUGACGGUACCUGAGGAGGAAGCCCCGGCUAACUACGUGCCAGCAGCCGCGGUAAUACGUAGGGGGCGAGCGUUAUCCGGAAUUAUUGGGCGUAAAGAGUACGUAGGCGGUUCUGUAAGCGUGAGGUGAAAGCCCGGGGCUUAACUCCGGUAAGCCUUUCGAACUGCAGGACUUGAGUGCUGGAGGGGAAAGUGGAAUUCCUAGUGUAGCGGUGAAAUGCGUAGAUAUUAGGAGGAACACCAGUGGCGAAGGCGACUUUCUGGACAGUAACUGACGCUGAGGUACGAAAGCGUGGGGAGCAAACAGGAUUAGAUACCCUGGUAGUCCCCU